rnacentral:misc_RNA from 1 species
GUGGUGUCAGCUAUCAACAUGUAUGUGGUGUGUGUUGUAGCAUUGCAUUUGUUAAUCUUAUUUUUAAUUUGUAAGCGCGGUAAAAAAAGCCAAGAUCUAUGAAUGAACCAAAACGUUUCAGUUUGGUUUGGUUCUAUUCCCUAUUUUGAUUCAGUUUGGUUUUCUGCCAUUAUUCAAUUCAGUUUUUUUUUUGGUUUUGGUCAGCUUCAGACUAAACCAAAUUGAACCGACCAAUACAUAUUCAUGCCUGGGAAGCCAACAUUAAAAUAUGAAGCAUACAAAUGAAAGUUAAAAAUUCUGUAGGGGCUACAGUUGAACUUAAAAAACAAAAAAAAA